UACGUAGGGGGCAAGCGUUGUCCGGAUUUAUUGGGCGUAAAGAGCUCGUAGGUGGUUUGGUAAGUCGGAUGUGAAAUCUCCAGGCUCAACCUGGAGGGGUCAUUCGAUACUGCUGUGACUUGAGUUCGGUAGGGGAGUGGGGAAUUCCUAGUGUAGCGGUGAAAUGCGCAGAUAUUAGGAGGAACACCGGUGGCGAAGGCGCCACUCUGGGCCGAAACUGACGCUGAGGAGCGAAAGCAUGGGUAGCAAACAGG
rnacentral:rRNA from 1 species